GUAGGUGACAAGCGUUGUCCGGAUUUACUGGGCGUAAAGAGCGCGCAGGCGGUCGUUCAAGUCGAGUGUGAAAGCCCCCGGCUCAACUGGGGAGGGUCAUUCGAUACUGAUCGACUCGAAGGCAGGAGAGGGUAGUGGAAUUCCCGGUGUAGUGGUGAAAUGCGUAGAUAUCGGGAGGAACACCAGUGGCGAAGGCGACUACCUGGCCUGUUCUUGACGCUGAGGCGCGAAAGCUAGGGGAGCAAACGGGAUUAGAUACCCUGGUAGUCCACGCCGUAAACGAUGAAUGUUAGCCGUCGGGCAGUAUACUGUUCGGUGGCGCAGCUAACGCAUUAAACAUUCCGCCUGGGGAGUACGGUCGCAAGAUUA
rnacentral:rRNA from 1 species